GGAGAGGUGUCGGAGUGGCUUAUCGAGCUGGUUUCGAAAACCAGUGUGCGCGUCAGCGCACCGGGGGUUCGAAUCCCCCCCUCUCCG
rnacentral:tRNA from 2 species